rnacentral:rRNA from 1 species
CCUACGGGGGGCAGCAGUGGGGAAUUUUGCGCAAUGCUCGUAAGAGUGACGCAGCGACGCCGCGUGAAUGACGAAGGCCUUCUGGUCGUACAGUUCUUUCUACAGGGAAGAAAAUGCCUAUAAGUAACUGUGUUUGUAUUGACGGUACCUGUAUAAGCAGCCCCGGCUAACUCCGUGCCAGCAGCCGCGGUAAUACGGAGGGGGAGAGCGUUUUUCUGAGUGACUUGGCGUAAAGCGCACGUAGGUGGUGUUGUAAGUCAUUAGUCAAAGGCUAGAGCUUAACUUUAGUAAGGCUAGUGAUACUAUAAUACUAGAGUAUCAGAGAGGAAUGCAGAAGUCCUGGUGUAGCGGUGAAAUGCGUAGAUAUCAGGAAGAAUACCGUUAGCGAAGGCAGCAAUCGGGCUGGAAACUGACGCUGAGGGGCGAAAGCGUGGGUAGCAAACAGGAUUAGAUACCCGUGUAGUC